GACAGAGGCCUCGAGCGUUAGGCGGAAUCACUGGGCUUAAAGCGUGUGUAGGCGGAUCGUUAAGUGCCUUGUGAAAUCCCACGGCUUAACCGUGGAACUGCUUGGCAUACUGGCGGUCUUGAGCAACCUAGGGGCGAGCGGAACAAAUGGUGGAGCGGUGAAAUGCGUAGAUAUCAUUUGGAACGCCAAUGGUGAAAACAGCUCGCUGGGGGUUUGCUGACGCUGAGACACGAAAGCCAGGGGAGCAAACGGG
rnacentral:rRNA from 1 species